rnacentral:rRNA from 1 species
UGGGGAAUAUUGGGCAAUGGACGCAAGUCUGACCCAGCAACGCCGCGUGAGGGAAGAAGGUUUUCGGAUUGUAAACCUCUGUCCUUGGGGACGAAACAAGACGGUACCCAAGGAGGAAGCCCCGGCUAACUACGUGCCAGCAGCCGCGGUAAUACGUAGGGGGCAAGCGUUGUCCGGAAUUACUGGGCGUAAAGGGUGCGUAGGUGGUUUAGUAAGUCAGAUGUGAAAUACCCGGGCUCAACCUGGGGGGUGCAUCUGAAACUAUUAGACUUGAGUACAGGAGAGGGAAGCGGAAUUCCUAGUGUAGCGGUGAAAUGCGUAGAUAUUAGGAGGAACACCAGUGGCGAAGGCGGCUUUCUGGACUGUAACUGACACUGAGGCACGAAAGCGUGGGGAGCAAACA